rnacentral:tRNA from 1 species
UCGAGAAAGACAUAGUGGUUAUGACGUUGGCUUGAAACCAGUGGGAGAGGGUUCGAUUCCUU